AGAGUUUGAUCAUGGCUCAGAAUCAACGCUGGCGGCGUGCCUAACACAUGCAAGUCGCACGAGAAAGGGUAGCAAUACCUGAGUAAAGUGGCGCACGGGUGAGUAACACGUGACUAACCUACCUUCGAGUGUGGAAUAACUUCGGGAAACCGGAGCUAAUACCGCAUAACAUCUACGGAUCAAAGCAGCAAUGCGCUUGAAGAGGGGGUCGCGGCAGAUUAGCUAGUUGGCGGGGUAAUGGCCCACCAAGGCGAUGAUCUGUAUCCGGCCUGAGAGGGCGCACGGACACACUGGAACUGAAACACGGUCCAGACUCCUACGGGAGGCAGCAGUGGGGAAUUUUGCGCAAUGGGGGAAACCCUGACGCAGCAACGCCGCGUGGAGGAUGAAAUCCCUUGGGAUGUAAACUCCUUUCGAUAGGGAAGAUAAUGACGGUACCUAUAGAAGAAGCCCCGGCUAACUUCGUGCCAGCAGCCGCGGUAAUACGAGGGGGGCAAGCGUUGUUCGGAAUUAUUGGGCGUAAAGGGUGCGUAGGCGGUUUGAUAAGUUUGGUGUGAAAUCUCUGGGCUCAACCCAGAGUCUGCACCGAAAACUGUCGGGCUUGAGUAUGGGAGAGGUGAGUGGAAUUUCCGGUGUAGCGGUGAAAUGCGUAGAUAUCGGAAGGAACACCUGUGGCGAAAGCGGCUCACUGGACCAUUACUGACGCUGAUGCACGAAAGCUAGGGGAGCAAACAGGAUUAGAUACCCUAGUAGUCC
rnacentral:rRNA from 1 species